rnacentral:rRNA from 1 species
UACGUAGGUGGCAAGCGUUGUCCGGAAUUAUUGGGCGUAAAGCGCGCGCAGGCGGACUGAUCAGUCUGGGGUGAAAUCUCCCGGCUCAACUGGGAGCGGUCCCUGGAUACUGUCAGUCUUGAGAGACCUAGAGGAGAGCGGAAUUCCCGGUGUAGUGGUGGAAUGCGUAGAUAUCGGGAAGAACACCAGUGGCGAAAGCGGCUCUCUGGGGGUUUUCUGACGCUGAGGCGCGAAAGCGUGGGGAGCGAACCGG